CCAUCAGGGGAUUCCCCUAGUAGCGGCGAGCGAAGCGGGAAGAGCUCAAAUUUAUAAUCUGGCACCUUCGGUGUCCGAGUUGUAAUCUCUAGAAGUGUUUUCCGCGUUGGACCGCACACAAGUCUGUUGGAAUACAGCGGCAUAGUGGUGAAACCCCCGUAUAUGGUGCGGACGCCCAGCGCUUUGUGAUACACUUUCAAUGAGUCGAGUUGUUUGGGAAUGCAGCUCAAAUUGGGUGGUAAAUUCCAUCUAAAGCUAAAUAUUGGCGAGAGACCGAUAGCGAACAAGUACCGUGAGGGAAAGAUGAAAAGCACUUUGGAAAGAGAGUUAACAGUACGUGAAAUUGUUGGAAGGGAAACGCUUGAAGUCAGACUUGCUUGCCGGAGCUUGCUUCGGUUUGCAGGCCAGCAUCAGUUUUCCGGGGUGGAUAAUGACGGUUUGAAGGUAGCAGUCUCGGCUGUGUUAUAGCUUUCCGUUGGAUACAUCCUGGGGGACUGAGGAACGCAGCGUGCUUUUUGCGAAAGACUCGUCUUUUUCACGCUUAGGAUGCUGGUGGAAUGGCUUUAAACGACCCGUCUAAAACCGGGGGGAAAAAAAAACAAU
rnacentral:rRNA from 1 species